UUAAAUUGAAGAGUUUGAUCAUGGCUCAGAUUGAACGCUGGCGGCAGGCCUAACACAUGCAAGUCGAACGGUAACAGGAAGCAGCUUGCUGCUUUGCUGACGAGUGGCGGACGGGUGAGUAAUGUCUGGGAAACUGCCUGAUGGAG
rnacentral:rRNA from 7 species